CCUACGGGUGGCAGCAGUGAGGAAUAUUGGUCAAUGGGCGCUAGCCUGACCCAGCCACGUAGCGUGAAUGAUGACUGCCCUAUGGUUUUUAAGCUUCUUAUAUAUGGACAUAAAUUGCAGUAUGUCUACUGAUUUGCAUGUACCUUCUGCAUAAGGAUCGGCUAACUCCUUGCCAGCAGCCGCGGUAAUACGGAGGGUUCGAGCUUUAUCCGGAUUUAUUGGGUUUAAGGGGAGCGUAGGCGGGUAUUUAAGUCAGUUGUGAAAGUUUGCGGCUCAACCGUAAAAUUGCAGUUGAUACUGGCAGCCUUGAGUACAGUAGAGGUAGGCGGAAUUCGCGGUGUAGCGGUGAAAUGCUUAGAUAUCAUGAAGAACACCAAUGGCGAAGGCAGCCUGCUGGACAUUAACUGACGCUGAUGCUCGAAAGUGUGGGGAGCAAACAGGAUUAGAUACCCGUGUAGUC
rnacentral:rRNA from 1 species